AAAAAAAGCAUUCUCUAUCUCUCUCCCCCACUCUCUAUCUCUCCACCAUUGAAGUUGCACUCUGAGCCUUCUCUACUCCACCAUUGACGCAAAUUCUGCGGUAAGAUGUUUAUCAAGUUAUGAAAUUAUAAGUUUGAGCUAUUAAAAUGAAAUUAAAUUAAUAUAUAAUCUGCAAUAGCAUAUUUAAAACCUUCCUACUGUCCUGCAUCGCACUAGACGAGGCUCUAAAACUUGCAUUUCAUUAACGCUUUUUUCAAACUUCCAACAUUGCCUGAAUCUCGGUUUUGCUGCUAGCUACAAACCUUACCUCCAUUAACAAUGGUAUGUCCAAAUUCUCUCUCCUCUUCCUCUUUCUUUUCUAUAUUAAGGGUUUUACUCUGCAAUUCUUGGCCAAAACAUGUUAGAUUACCUCUUGUUUUUGUUUUUGUUUAUUUUGAUUUUAAUUUUUACUCACUGUUGGUGUAAAUAUAUGUGUAUGUUUGCUAAUUUAGCUGGAAUCUGGUUCAAUUUAAGUGUUUCAUGUUAAUUUAUUAUUAAGGUUUUUAAUUUUAGGGUGUGUUUUUAAUUUGAAAUUUUGGGAUUAAGAGUGUAAAUUGGGAAUUUUUCAUGAAAUUCUAGGGUUAUAAUGACGGAAUAUACAUGUUUGUGGUAUUUGUUUGGAUGCUGAGGGUUUUGUAUUUAUAGGCGGAUCCUGAAUUGGAUGCCAUCAGACAAAGAAGAAUGCAGGAGCUGAUGGCACAACGUGGCGGAGGUGGUUCGGGAAGUCAGCAGAACCCUGAACAAUAGAAGGCUCAAGAAGGGGAAAAAUCAAAGCUAAAGAAUGAAGGCAGAUAAUGCUUGCUCAGAUUCUUUCCAGUGAAGCACGCGAAAGACGAUGAUGAUGCUUCUGUCCGAGUUUCGAUCUCUUCUAUUCCGGACGUUGGAGGAAAAGCUAGAGAUUCUGAAGUUUUCUAUGGUUUUAGCAAUGAAAGCAGUAAUUUCAUGAGUAUGUGUUCUUUUUCCUAGCUUCUUAUUUCAAUUCUUUUUAUUUCAUGCCGAUAAAUUCAGUUUCUAUUGAUGAGUUUAUUUUAUAUAUAUUUUAUUCCCCGUCCCACGGUCAUAUUUGUGCUUUUUUGAGCUCUGCGAAGCUAUUUUUAUUAUUAAUAUAUGUUUUCUAGUGUUUUUGUAGAGUUGGUAUUAUUUUGUAGGAAUUUGCAGAAUUAUGUCAAUUCCCGAGCUUAUUGAGCCAUUACAAAGACAUUGGAGUUUGAUCAAAUUUUAUGACCGCAUAUUUUAAGCCUAAGAUCGAGCUAAUUAAAUUUAGUUUGGUGAUUAAGAGCUCGAUACAUGAGAAGGUCCGAGAUUUCACAAGUUACUAUCACAGACCAAUUAAGGAAGGAAAUUGGGCCAAAAGCGAAGGGGCCUGAGCUGGCAAAUCCAAGCAAGUAAGAAAGAGGUUGCUGGGCGUGAAGACUACUGGGCCUGCAAAUUCCUUGGGCUUUACUCUAGUUAAUUCGCUGAUGUGGGUUUCUGACUUCUAGGGGCCUUUGCUCCAAUUUCACGCAACGUUAAUGAUUACCCUUGGAGGAAUUAGAGUUUGACUGGGAAACAAACUCCUUUUCCUUUAAAAGGAUGGAGUUAGUUACGGAUGAGUAGUUUUAAGUUUUAGCUUUUUUGUUACUUUAAUUUUAGUCUUAGUUUUAAUUAUAGUUUUUUUUUCCGUAACUUGCUUUAGUUAGCCUUUUAAUUUGCAUGCUGAGGAUUUUAGUUUAGUAAUUUUAUUCGCUUCGUCAAUUUUGUUCCUUUAUUAGACUUCGUUUUAGUUUAGCUUGAGAUUUCAAUUUACUUGCUUUCUUGUUUUGUUAUUAUUAAAAUUAAUAUGCUUAUUGUUAUUUUCUUAAUUUU